UUACAGUGCUCCCAUUCACAUAUUGCUUUCAUUCAUAUAUCUCACUGUGGAAGGGUACAGAUCACGAAGAGACGUGCAUAUUCCAAUACGUCUUUUAUAAACUGUGAUGCAUAAGAUGAGGGCUGAAUUUGAUUAUGAUGCCUUUGUGAUAUGCAACCCUGACGGCGAGGAUUUAGAAUUCGUAAACAGCUUAGUGGACACAAUGCAAGCUUCUCCAUACCACCUGAAGAUUUGUGUGCCGUGGAGAGUCACAGAUAGAUAUUACUGCAGUGAUGAACAUUACAUACAGCAGAGAUGAUGUCGAAAAUAUGUGUUCUUGAAGGAUGCGGGCACGUAGUGUUGGGAGUGGGGGUGUCAGAGGGGAGGCCUGUCCCCUCUGCUUUUUUUUUCAAACAUAAAUAUUACUGUUAUUCUACUAGGAAGAUGUUCAUUGACAGUCCAGUCCCCCACUUUUUUGAAAUGUACCAUUGCGGUUAACGUAAAGAAUUCUUUUCUGGUCACAAUGUAGUAAAUUGACCCCCCCCCCACACUCACACACAUACACUCACACAUACACUAGACUCUGGGAAGCCUUUUUGUAAAUUUUUUUGCAUGUCGAUGAUUUUCUGGCUAGCCCUUACUUUUCAUAAACGAUGUGAACAAAAUGAACGAAAAUAUAGAUCUAAAUAAUGGCAAAUUUUAAUUAAUACUGAAAGAAAAGUUUCCAUAUGAUCAAAGAAAGUGUCCUGGCCUUGACCCAUGCUCAUAUUGUCAAGUUCACUUUUUUGAAAAUACAAACCCUGUCCUGAACAUAUGCUGUAAUGAAGAAACAUUUAGAUUUCAUACUUACAACAGAUUUUCAUGUUAAUUGAGGCUGCAUUAGGACCUGACCCAAGGACAUAUGGUCAAGUUAAAGGUUUUUAUGUCACACAGCUCCGACGGAAGACCUCUCGUUGCUUUGCAACGAGAUUUGCUCUAGUUCAAUACACAUAACAUUGAUGUUAAAUUGAAAUAAAAUGAAAUAAUAAUGCAUACAUGCAUAUAUAUAUAUAUAUAUAUAUAUAUAUAUAUAUACAUACAGUAUUAUAUAAUAUAAGCACAGAAAAUUUCACUUUAUUUGGAUACCCACUUCCUCCCCUACCCGGGGUUGAACUCACGACCCGCGGAACCAAAUCUCCUAGCAGCAUGUAAUCAGCGCGCUAGACCGCUCGACCAUCUACAUGUAGGCACAGGGGCAUCUUAUCCGCUCUGUUCUCUAUCACACAUAUAUAAAUACACAAGGGAAGAAUCGAAAGUAGCACACGAUUUGUAAACAAAGUCAUAAAACACCUUACUUGAAAAAAGUUACACAAAUCCUCGUAUGCACUAAUGCAAAUGAUGUCCUAGAACUUAUCCAGACUCAAAUAUUCCAAAUAUUCCCAAUGUAAAUAGUUUUUAUCCACAUAAAAUCCCAGCUUGCUGCACAGUUUUGAACUCUUAGGCCAAGAAAAGAUAACUCUACUUCAGACGACAACUUCCGGUAUUUGGAAUCUAUAUUUGAGUAGCAUAAAAUCAAGGAUCAAUAAAGUAAAGAGGCGUUAAUUUGUAAAUCAGUGUCUGAAAAGAAAUAUUGUAAUAUAAUAGGCAAUUAUACAAUAGAUUUUCCUUUAACUUUGAAUUACAAAAAAUAAAUGAAUAAAUUAAAAAAACAAAACAAAUAAGAAAAAGAAACAACAACCAAAUAUGAGAAAGGAACUUGACUUUAUAUUACAAAAGAAAAGCAGAUUUUAGAAAUGUUUAACGUGUCUUCAAAAAUUAUGAAAAUAAAUCAUCUGUCCUCAACUGUAAUCUGUCCCUGUCUGGUGCUAUUUUAACCCCCCCCCCACCUUCACACAAAAUAAAGAGUUUUUGAGUUAUGUAAUUUUCCUUUUUGAAGGUAAGAAAAAAUAGGUAAUCUGUCUCUGAUCAUCGUGGAAAUGAAGAAUUUGCCCUUUAAUGGCAUGAGAAUAAAUGAAUAAUCUAACUUUAAAAAUUGUAGGCCCCCCCCAUCCCCCCCCCCCCCGAAUUAAAUGGUAUUAUACCCUUAUAUGGUUAGUAUGAAUAUAUAAUAACUGGGUCAUUCAUUUAAUUACCAUAACAUGUGAGAAACAGAUGAGCAAUUAAAAUAAUUUUCCUUCACAUUGAAUAAAAAAAUUCAAAUAUGGACAAGAACUUGAAAUGAAUAUAUGUAUAUAUAUAUAUAUAUAAUCCAGAAAUAAGUAUAGAAAAAUAUAUAGGCCUACAAGUUAGUAGCAUAAUAAAAAUAUCACAAAGCCGACUGAGCAUACUUGUCUAGUUUCAGGAGUUACAUAUAAGUAUUUAAGUUCAAAACAAUAUAUUCUUAUUAUAUAUAAAUUUUAUAUAAAUGAAUAUAUUGAAAUUUAUACAAAUUAAAGAAACUAGUAUUUUUAUUUAUUUAUUUUGUAUUAUUAUUAUUAUUAUUACUUUUUUUUUUUUUUUUUAUUGUAAUAUAAAGUCAAAUUCUUUUCUUAUAUUUUAUCCCCCCCUCCCCCCAUUUUUUUUUUAUUAAACCCGACUGUUUACCAACAAUUGUGCAAUGAAUUACGCUAAUUGAAUUACAAUAAAAGUAUGUCAACUCCAUGCUUACAAUAAGAUAGAUAUUUUUUUUUCAAAAAUUGAUAAAUAUAACCAAAAACCGGAAGUUGUCGUCUGAAGUAGAGUUAUCUUUUCUUGGCCUAAGAGUUCAAAACUGUGCAGCAAGCUGGGAUUUUAUGUGGAUAAAAACUAUUUACAUUGGGAAUAUUUGGAAUAUUUGAGUCUGGAUAAGUUCUAGGACAUCAUUUGCAUUAGUGCAUACGAGGAUUUGUGUAACUUUUUUCAAGUAAGGUGUUUUAUGACUUUGUUUACAAAUCGUGUGCUACUUUCGAUUCUUCCCUUGUGUAUUUAUAUAUGUGUGAUAGAGAACAGAGCGGAUAAUAUGCCCCUGUGAUGUAGGCAAGUCAUAAAAUUUACUUUAUGGAAUUCUCGCCACGCUGUCACACGCUACACGGUCAUUGAAAAUGGAAAUGGGAUACAGUUAUUUAACGUACAUUUAAGAGGAUCGUACAUGAUACACAUUGCAUUUGAAAUAUUUUUAUAUAAAGCACAGAAAUAGCAACGAACUCUUAAUUGAACAUAACUGCGCUAAGUGAAGAAAUAUUUGAUAUAAAGCACAGAAAAUGUCACUUUAUUUGGAUACCCACUUCCUCCCCAACCCGGGGUUGAACUCAAGACCUACGGAACCAAAUCUCGUAGCAGCAUGUAACCAGAGCGUUAGACCGCUCGACCAUCUAGGCAAGUCAUAAAACUUGCUUUCGAUGACGAUGUAAAUUCUCGCCACGUUGUCACACGCUACACAGUCAUUGAGAAUUGAAUUGGGGUAUAGUUAUUUAACGUACAUUUAAGAGGAUCAUACAAUAUAUAUAUUCUAGCAAUUUUGAAAAUGCAUUCAUACUAAAUGUGUAUUGACGUAGUUUGCAGAUCUUAUUCAGAUAAUGCAGUAAAAGGCAGUAGACCAGUGGAUCCAUGUUUCAAGCUAGUUUAUUGGUUGUGACUGUCUGACAAAGAUGUUACUAUUAAGGUUAUAGCCAAUAAUAGCUGAGACAAUGGACCCAGGAAAACGCCCUUCCUGCACAUAAAGUAUUUUUUAAGCAGAAGCUGUAUCGUGGUACUAUCAAACAACUUUAAUAAAAGCAAAGAAGCAAUCUCUCAGCUGCAGUUUGCCCAUAGUUUGUCGCCAGCUGGUAAAGAGAGACGGAUUCUCCCUAUUUGUUUAGACGAAUGUGAA